AUAGAGACAGAGCUCAUGACUCUUCUCUUUCUUCUUUCUCUUCUGCCUACACCUAUACCACCACCACCGAUUCCACCGAUCGGCAGACCAUGGCGCAUCAUCCACUUCAUCACCAUUCUCUUUGUCUUUUUGUUAUCCACUCUUAUAAAGAGACUACAUGCAAAGCUCAAUUCUUUGCCUAUUUAGAUGACACUACAAUCCAGAUUUUCAAAGGCUACUGAGUUGGAAAUCAAAGCUUCAACUCUUGAUUACAGUCCUUGCUACUCGAAUCCCCUCCAAAAUUGGUAAAGCCCAGACCUUCAUUAUUUCCUUCUUGAUUCGAAUUAUUCUUCUCUUCCUCAAAAUCAGAAGUUAAUCCAUGUUCUUUAUUUCUGGGCAACACCGUCGUCCUCCGCCAUUGACCCCUUUGAUUUCCAGCAAGGAUUUGAGACUUCGAUCAAUUUGAAUUCUCUUUUGACUUUGUGUGAAUCUUGGGAGUUGCUAGACGACUUUGGAGGAGGAGUAACGCUGAGUUUUGAAGGAAGGGAACGAUGCCGCAAAGCUCGAGAGUUACCAUUCCUUUUUCUGGAAAUUAAUAGAGGUAAUAGUGACAUAGCUUAGAGAAAUUUGGCUGAGAGCUGGAGACGUGGUUGUACUUGACAUUUCCCGCCCAAUUCCAUUUUUUGAGGAUACGCUUCGAUCAUUUUGUGGUAAAUCAAUCUUGUUUGAUCUCCGAGUCACUUCCAAGAACUUAUUGUUUGCGUACUCUUUCCUUGAUCAUAUUAGGAGUUAAUUGUAUUAUUAGUUGGGCCAAGUUGUUCAAAUUAUAGAGACUUAGAGUUUGUUAAAUUCUUCGUAAGUCAUAUUCAUUACGUUCCACAAUUGUAUAAAUGGGUUGUUAUUUAUGUU